rnacentral:rRNA from 1 species
GACGAACGCUGGCGGCGUGCUUAACACAUGCAAGUCGAACGGAAAGGCCCUGCUUGCAGGGUACUCGAGUGGCGAACGGGUGAGUAACACGUGGGUGAUCUGCCCUGCACUUCGGGAUAAGCCUGGGAAACUGGGUCUAAUACCGGAUAGGAGCCAUUUUUAGUGUGAUGGUUGGAAAGUUUUUUCGGUGUAGGAUGAGCUCGCGGCCUAUCAGCUUGUUGGUGGGGUAAUGGCCUACCAAGGCGGCGACGGGUAGCCGGCCUGAGAGGGUGGACGGCCACAUUGGGACUGAGAUACGGCCCAGACUCCUACGGGAGGCAGCAGUGGGGAAUAUUGCACAAUGGGCGCAAGCCUGAUGCAGCGACGCCGCGUGGGGGAUGACGGCCUUCGGGUUGUAAACUCCGUUCGCUAGGGACGAAGCUUUUUGUGACGGUACCUAGAUAAGAAGCACCGGCUAACUACGUG